rnacentral:tRNA from 1 species
GGAGGUGACAGGUGCCUGGUGGUGCUCCUGGUCUUCAAAACCAGUGCACGGCACGCAAGUGUCGUGGGUGGGUUCGAUUCCCAUUCACCUCCGCCA